rnacentral:rRNA from 1 species
UACGGAGGGUGCGAGCGUUAUUCGGAAUCAUUGGGCGUAAAGAGCGUGUAGGCGGCCGGUUAAGUCAGGUGUGAAAGCCCGGGGCUCAACCUCGGAAGUGCACUUGAAACUGGUCGGCUUGAGUUCGGGAGAGGGAAGCGGAAUUCCUGGUGUAGAGGUGAAAUUCGUAGAUAUCAGGAGGAACACCGGUGGCGAAGGCGACUUCCUGGCCCGAAACUGACGCUGAGACGCGAAAGCGUGGGGAGCAAACAGG